CCUACGGGCGGCUGCAGUGGGGAAUAUUGGACAAUGGGCGAAAGCCUGAUCCAGCCAUGCCGCGUGUGUGAAGAAGGCCUUCGGGUUGUAAAGCACUUUCAGUGGGGAAGAAAGCCUUGGGGCUAAUACCCUCGAGGAAGGACAUCACCCACAGAAGAAGCACCGGCUAACUCCGUGCCAGCAGCCGCGGUAAUACGGAGGGUGCGAGCGUUAAUCGGAAUUACUGGGCGUAAAGCGCGCGUAGGCGGUCUGAUAAGCCGGUUGUGAAAGCCCCGGGCUCAACCUGGGAACGGCAUCCGGAACUGCCAGGGUAGAGUGCAGGAGAGGGAGGUAGAAUUCCCCGUGUAGCGGUGAAAUGCGUAGAGAUGGGGAGGAAUACCAGUGGCGAAGGCGGCCUUAUGGGCUGACACUGACGCUGAGGCGCGAAAGCGUGGGUAGCAAACAGGAUUAGAUACCCUAGUAGUC
rnacentral:rRNA from 1 species